rnacentral:rRNA from 1 species
UAGGGAAUCUUCCACAAUGGACGAAAGUCUGAUGGAGCAACGCCGCGUGAGUGAAGAAGGGUCUCGGCUCGUAAAACUCUGUUGUUAAAGAAGAACAUAUCUGAGAGUAACUGUUCAGGUAUUGACGGUAUUUAACCAGAAAGCCACGGCUAACUACGUGCUAG